GACGAACGCUGGCGGCGUGCUUAACACAUGCAAGUCGAACGGAAAGGCCCUGCUUUUGCGGGGUGCUCGAGUGGCGAACGCGUGAGUAACACGUGAGUAACCUGCCCUUGACAUUGGGAUAACUCCAGGAAACUGGGGCUAUUAUCGGAUAGGAGCUCUUGCUGUAUGGUGGUGGUUGGAAAGUUUCGGUGUUUGUGGAUGGACUGGCUGCUUAUCAGCUUGUUGGGGAGGUAGGGGCUUUCCAAGGCUUUGAAGGGUAGCCGACCUGGGAGGGGGACCGGCGACCUUGGGCCUGCGGUACGGCCCAGACUCCUACGGGAGGCAGCGGGGGGGAAUAUUGCACAGUGGGCGGAAGCCUGAUGCAGCAACGCCGCGUGCGGGAUGACGGCCUUCGAGUUGUAAACCGCUUUCGCCUGUGACGAGGCGUGAUUGACGGUAAUGGGUAAAGAAGCACCGGCUAACUACGUG
rnacentral:rRNA from 1 species